AUGGCGCCUCCACAGCUCCGUCUACGGGGACCCCAUGACUGUGACCCUCCCUGCAAAGGGAGCUCGGCAGGUGCCACCGAGGCCGUCCGUGACAAGUGUCCUCCUGAGGACAGACCCUGCAAUGGGGCCACAGGCGGGAACACCCACGCCACCCGGGACGCUGACCGCCAGCUUCCCCUCCGUCCCGGCCCCUCCCCUGCCCCCUCAGAUCCCGGCGUCGCCCCACGGUGUUUCCUGUCCCGGCCCGGCCAGACCAGGGUCCCAGAGGGGCUCCUUCCCAGAUGUCCUCUCUGUCGCCCGCUGCUCUGCCCCAGCCCCCAGCCAGGCAAACCUGGAACCUGGGCGGACCCUGAGGGGGGCCGGGCUGCAGGACCGUGGCCGAGCUGGCCGCGUGGUGCUCUUUGUUGCCAGGUGUGCGGGGGAGGAGGUGAGGACGCACCUGCCCGCCUCACUUCUGGCCUUCCGAGGAGACCGGGAGGUUUCCAGCCCCAGAGGAGGCCAGGCCGGGGCCACAUGAGGACGGAGCAGCUGCGAAGAUGGCCAGGCCCAGCCGAGCAGGACAGCGAGGGGCAGGGGAGGCGACAGCCUUGGAGCCGGCAGAGGCAGCCCCGCAGGCCUGGGGUGUGGAGUCCGGGGGCUCGGUGUCUUGUCCCUGGGAGACUGGCCACCCCAGGGGUCAGGGCCGGGUGGCAGGUGGGAGGGUUCCUCUGCCCUGGGGACGCGCGGUGCUGGGCUGAGGUCCUUGCCCACCUUUCCUGCUGCUGUCCCCCACCCUGGCCCCAGCUUCCUUUCUAUAGCUCGGGCUGCAGGAGUCCAGCUGGGGCCUGGCGGGGAGGGCGGGGGAUGCUGGGCAGCCACGGGAGCAGAAAGCCGAGACCUCCCUGGGUGACCGGUGAGGCCGCGGCCGUCAGAUGCUGCGAGACGGGGAGAUACAGACGGGCACCAGGCCUGUGGCUAGGCCCUAUCCAGGGCCCCCUGGAGCGCCCCGGCCAGCCCCUGGGGUCCCCUGUCUUGACACCUGCCGGCACGUUCUGCAAGGGGGAAGCGGGGAGCCCCUGGUUCGAAGACUGCGAAGGAUUUAAGGGCCGGACUCGGGCACUGCGGGUGUGUGUGCGCAUCCGUGUGCACACGUAUGUUCUCCCAAGCACCUGCUCUGCCCGCGGGCUCCCCUCAGCUCGGGUCUCGGGGCGUUGCCUUCUCAGUUAA
rnacentral:lncRNA from 1 species